rnacentral:tRNA from 1 species
UAAGUCCUAUGAGAAAUUAACCCAUAUCUUCCAGAUGCAACCUGGACACUUUUAUUAAGCUAAAGCCUUCC